UAAUUACGUCAUGUGUGUUAGGAAUUAAACAUUAUAUAGGUUUUGUAUUUGUUUGUAUGUUUGUAGUUGUUUGUGUUUGUGCAAACAGUGAGGGUUCUUGUUUUCCCCCUGGAUUCAGUGAUCUUUGAUUUGUUUUCACGGAUAGCUCAUGUGUGCUUUUCAGUCGUGCCACAUCAUCUCUUCAUGAAAUCAGUGUGUGGUUUUGUUUUUCCAGAUGUCUCUCCGUCCGUGAGCACAGCAUCCGUCACAGUGGGGGCCGGUGGUCUGCUGCUCCCUCUCUCUACCGAGCAGCUCGCCUGUGUGGCUCUGUCGGGCGCCCUCCUCCUCGCCCUGAUCGUAAACGUCGUCAUCUGCUGCCGUAACAGGAGGAAAGAUGAACUUCUCAUUCAGCAAAAAAGCCGCCAGCUUCAGAGCGCCGGCGAGCGCCAUGAGAAUGACUACAGAGACGGUGUCAACCUGGUCAACAUCACCAGCAACGACUACGAAGCAGACCACAUGGAUCAAUCAGGCACACGAUACGAAGCAGACCACAUGGAUCAAUCAGGUACACGAUACGAAGCAGACCACAUGGAUCAAUCAGGCACACGAUACGAAGCAGACCACAUGGAUCAAUCAGGUACACGAUACAUUCACAUUCAAUAGACAGAGUGCCAUGUCAUACACUAUCGUUCAAAAGUUUGGGGUCACUUAGAAAUGUCCUUGUUUUCAAAUAAAACAGCCAUGAAAUGAGUUUGAAUAGGAAAUAUAGCUAAAUGAGUAGGAUGUAGUCAGUGACAAGGUUAGAAAUAAUGAUUUUUAAUUGAAAUAAGAAUUUGUGUUCUUCAAACUUUGUGUCAUCAAAGAGUCCUCCAUUUGCUUUUCUUUCAAAAACAAGUACAUUUCCAAGUGACCCCUGACCUUUUGAACAGUAGAGUACAUUUACAGAAGUACAUACUCAGUUGUGUGUGUUACUCGGGGUGUCGAGCCCCACAACCUUAGUGUUGUUAGCACCCUGUGCCACCAGUUGAGCCACAGAAACACAUUGGACACAAGCGCUAACUCAACUCUAACACAUUGGACACAAGCGCUAACUCAACUCUAACACAUUGGACACAAGCGCUAACUCAACUCUAACACAUUGGACACAAGCGCUAACUCAACUCUAACACAUUGGACACAAGAGCUAACUCAACUCUAACACAUUGGACACAAGCGCUAACUCAACUCUAACACAUUGGACACAAGCGCUAACUCAACUCUAGCAUAGUGCUCCACACAUUGGACACAAGAGCUAACUCAACUCUAACACAGUGCCCCACACCGGACAUGACACUAUUUGUUUUCAUCCCUUUUUAAACGGAUCGACACACUUGACUUGACUUGCUUCCUCUCUUCCUGGUGUCUAGUUGAGAUGGGUCCCCCCCUGGCCCCGCGGCCCCCCCAAUACUACCCACAAAGCAGCAUCGAGAGCACAACUUCCUGUGACACAGAUCAUGAUGGAAGUCAGAGUGGGGAGGCUGCCUAUCCGCUCUCUACCUUCCGCAAUUCACGGAAAUACACCCCAGACAGGAGAGUCCCUAGCGCGGGUGUUUCUCAUAUGAGCCGAGUCACAGAGGAAGCAUGCAACCCUGUUGAGGACAUGGCCGAAGUGCAUGCUGGGUACUGUGGUUCUUCAUUAGUGGGCAGCAACCAGCCAAACAGAACAAGCUAUGCGGGCACAGCCAGUGGUAACAGAGCACUGUUCACUUUCACUUCACAGUUUCAGUUCACUAUCACUAUCAUGAUUUAGGAUUAAUACUGCAUAUCAUGUUUUAGCUUUUCAAAUUUCUGUAUAACCUUCAUCGUAAUUCUUAAUAUGUUAAUGUUAUUGGGUUUAAUAGGUUUACACCUCACAAAAUGCAAAUGCAAAUUACAAUACUAAAGAAACAAACACUAAACACUAAAAGGUGUUAUUCUAAUUUGGUACACAAGGGUAUAAAGUGUAAUAGGUUUCAUGAAAGCCUAUUCUUUACAGUACUAAAGACACAAACAAUAAACAAAUAAACACAAAACUGACAACUGUCCUUAAACCUGUGCUCUGUGUGGCAGUGGAUUCCUUUGACUCCUCCAGCACGUCCUCUGGUGAAUGCUAUGAGAACACAGAACGCACCCCUGCACGACCAGCCUCAGAAUCGCCGAUUUAUGACCAGACAGGUGACCACUUCCUGUUGCACAAAGGAAACCCUGCUGACGACCACAGAGGCCUGACCUCAAUGACACACGGGGUGAGGGCAGGAGGCCACUCCAGUGGAGAAGACUCCCCCAUCUACUCCCCCGUGAGCUUGGAGCCCCCAGAAGAACAGGAGAUGUCAUCAGACGGUGACUAUGACGACGUGGUCAGCUACCUGCAGUGAUGGGUAGUCUUUAGACUGUUACUAUGACGACGUGUUCAAUUACCUGCAAUUGCCUGGACCAAAGAUGGGAUUCACAACAGUCACAACAAUCGCACAGCAAACACAAACACAUUUCAUGCUUUACUCACACCAUAGGUUCUGUAGUGGAUUUAAAGGUUAUGCAAGAUGAUUUAAAGGUUAUGCAAGAUGCUGAAGGUUGCAGGUCGGUAAUCUGUGUGAUGAAAUGAAUAAUCAUCAGACAAAUCAGAUAAUAAUAAUCAAUAAUCAUGUUCAAUUUGGAGAUGACAAGAUGGGUCAGCCUUUACAUUUCUAUUCAGUAAUGUGCCACUGUUUGUAUGCUCAAACUCACUCACAAAAUAUGACUUCAAUUUGUACUUUGAAAAUGUAAAUAAUCUUCUUUAAAAUAAAA